GGGUCUGUAGCUCAGCUGGUUAGAGCGCACCCCUGAUACGGGUGAGGUCGGUGGUUCAAGUCCACUCUGACCCACCA
rnacentral:tRNA from 1 species